GAUGAACGCUGGCGGCGUGCCUAACACAUGCCAGUCGAGCGAACAGAUGAGGAGCUUGCUCCUCUGACGUUAGCGGCGGACGGGUGAGUAACACGUGUAUAACCUACCUAUAAGACUGGGAUAACUUCGGGAAACCGGAUCUAAUACCGGAUAAUAUAUUGAACCGCAUGGUUCAAUAGUGAAAGACGGUUGUGCUGUCACUUAUAGAUGGAUCCGCGCCGCAUUAGCUAGUUGGUAAGGUAACGGCCUACCAAGGCAACGAUGCGUAGCCGACCUGAGAGGGUGAUAGGCCACACUGGAACUGAGACACGGUCCAGACUCCUACGGGAGGCAGCAGUAGGGAAUCUUCGGCAAUGGGCGAAAGCCUGACGGAGCAAGGCCGCGUGUGUGAUGAAGGUCUUCGGAUCGUAAAGCUCUGUUAUUAGGGAAGAACAGAUGUGUAAGUAGCUAUGCACGUCUUGACGGUACCUAAUCAGAAAGCAACGGCUAACUACGUG
rnacentral:rRNA from 1 species